CCACAUCAAGAUUGCUUUCAAAUUAAAUGUUGAUUUCUCCACAGCAUCAUACAUCCUAACUCCAUUUACCCACAACUCAUUUAAAUCUUCUACAAGUGGUGCCAAGUAAACAUCUAUGUCAUUACCGGGCUAUUUUGGCCCAGGGAUUAGUAAAGUCAACAUUAAGUUUUCCUUGGACAUGCAUAACCAUGGAGGCAAGUUGUACAUAGAUAAAAUGACAGGCCAACAACUAUAACUCGUGCUAAGAUCUUGAAAAGGAUUGAAACCAUCAGUAGCUAGACCAAAUCUGAUAUUUCGAGGAUCUAAUGCAAACGAUGGCCAUUUUCUAUUUAUGGUCUCCCACGCAAGAGAAUCAACUGGAUGUCUCAUCUUACCGUCUUGGCUUUUAUGACUUUGGUGCCAUCUAAGUUGUUUUGCCAAUUCUGUGAUCCUAAACAUCCUCUUAAGUCUUGGUAUUAUUGGAAAAUAGCGCAAGACUUUUGCAGGUAUGCCUUGAUGAAUCUUAUUAGUUCGUUCAUCAACUUUCCAAUGAGAAGAACCACAUUUAAG
rnacentral:lncRNA from 1 species